rnacentral:rRNA from 1 species
AUGGAGGCCAUCACCGAGCUCAGGGCCCAGCUCCACGCCCACCUCUCCUCCAUGUACGCCACGGGUGCCGUGGACGCCUAUUUCCAGCAGCUGCAGGAGCUGGACGAGGGCAGUGCAGGCACGGGCUACGUCGCCGAAGUCCUCAACAUCUUCCUCAAUGACGGCGACAGGAUCCUCAGGGACAUCGACGGCCUGCUGAACAAGCCCCUGCACGAGGUGGAAUUCUCUAAGGUGGACGCCCUGGUGCAGCAGCUCAAGGGGAGCAGCUCCACUGUUGGUGCUAAGAAAGUGAAUCUCGCUUGCAUGGACUUCCAAAAGUUCUACGUGGCAAAAAACAAGAAAGGAUGCCUCAUGGCAUUGGCUCUUCUUAAGGGUGAUUUCUGUGACGUGCGCAGCAAGCUCCAGACUUUGAUGCAGCUGGAGCAGCAGAUCGCGUCCUUGGUUAGUAUGUGGUAG